GUUCAUUCCAUAUAUACAGAACAACCCGCUCCUUUCAUUCACAUACUAGGGUUUCCAAGAUUCAGCGUCUUCUCCAAGCUUCCUCUCUCAAUCUCAAACGUCUGAUAAGCUCCGACUCAAAUGGCUUUUUGAAGGAAUUUGUAAAAGCCUCUUCAAGUUUCGUCACGAACUCGAUCCUUCACUCGCGAUCUAGGGUUUUGCUCCAAAAACCCCUUUCUCUCAUCCAAUCCAUCUACUUAUUCUUCUUCAAUCAACAGGGUUUCGAUUCGUUAUUUUGAUUCCCUCAUCAAUCACUCGCUCUCUGCCUCUCAUUCGCACCUAUGUGAAUCUGAUUCUAAUCUGUGUCUUCAUCAUAAAUGUUAGAUUUUGUCGAUGAUACAACCAAGGGAACGGCAGUUGCGAUUAAACGCAUUAAGAAAAGAUGCUUUGUAGGGCAGCCAUCUGAACAAGAAAGAUUAACAGUAGAGUUCUCGCGAGAAGCUGUAAUUUUGUCAAAGCUUCAUCAUCCAAACGUAAUGAGAAGGGGAACGGAAGCUUUAUUAAACACUUCUAGAAAACUUUGUUGGAAUGAAAAAGUUUUUAUAUAUGAUUGAUCCUAGAGUAGAGGUGGGUUCAAGUUUGACUUUUGAAGACAAAGUUGUGUGUUCAAGAAGAGGCAGAGGAUAUGCCAAUAAUGGAGGAAGUUGUUCCUAUACAAGGUUUCUACAACAUCUGAUGUCAGCACUAAUGAUGUAGUUUAUUCAAGGUUUCCUACACAUCAACCAGCUUAGAAGUGAAAUCAUAACUCGUGUUCUAAGUUUCUAUUAAAUACUACGGCUCGGAUUCUUGGUUAGCUUGCAACUGACAUUUCAUGGAUCAGAUCAUCAAGAGUUUUGGUCAGCUGUAUCGGGUCAGGUUACAUAUUAGUUGCAACUAUCAUCCUAAUACAUAUUCAGCAAGUACAUUGAAAUUAAGCAUUUGAUUCACAAGCCAAUUUUAAUUUUUAUUUUAUUUUUUACUUUAUUUUGGCCAGCAAUUCGUCAGCUAAUUAGUUUAAUUUUUAUUCGUAUGAAUAUAUAGAAAGGUACUUUUUAGAUUAUAUUGAAAUAUGGAUACGUGGGAAGAAGCAACAAGACUAGAAAUACCGGUACCCAAUUUUGACAAAUUUUGAUACCAGUAUUUUCAGUAGCGGACCACCGGUUCGGUACGGUACCAGUACCAUGCUCAUCCCUAGAUUGAAAUGGGUCAGCACGAAAGCUUUUUGUCCUGCCUUUAAAGAAAGUUAUAAAUCUAUAGUGUGCUACUCAGUUUCUUUGAUGCUAAAUAAUAGAAAAAUAUAGCAGGUGGUCGAUAGGAUAUGUUCUGCAGGUUGGUGUAAUAACUUUUUAUCGAAAAAAUGCCAACCUUUACUCUUAAAUGGGACAAAUACGCUUAAAAUAAAUAUGAUUAAUCGCCUUUCGGACUCUCAUUGUUUAGCUAUAUGGUUGGUACUUCAUCAUCCUACAAAUAUAUAUAAAGAAAUAUCUUAAGCGGAUGUAAAUACUAAAGCUUGGGACCUUGGGCAUAUUAUAAAGUCCCUUUAAACUCUUUGACCCGUCUGUUUUUAACCUAGCUUUUUAGUAUUUUCUUCUGACCCAUUAUCAAUAUAAAUCUAUUCUCUGUUUUUCGGCAUCCACUCUUCCAUUUUGCAGUUCGGGUGGCCGCAGGCAGUCAAUUUUAAUCAUCUGCGCUAUUACUAUGCAACUAUUUUUGCUUCAAGGAUUAAGGCUCUUGAUGUUUGAUUUUGGAUUUAUACGUGCAAUUUUUGCUUGCAAUUUACUUGAAGAAACCUUUAAAAACUGAAGGCUGGCUUGGUUUACGGGCUGAUAUCGACCAUUGUUCUAAGUUUCUGUUAAAUAGUCUAGAAAGGUCCCUCUUGCGGGUUAGACUACGGCUUGGAUUCUUGGUUAGCUUGCAGUUGACAUAUCAUGGAUCAGAUCGCCACAUAGAGUUCUGGUCAACUGUAAGGAUUCAGGAGUUUUGGUCAGAUGUAUCGGGUCAGAUUACAUAUUAGUUGUAACUAUCAUCCUAAUACAUAUUCAGCAAGUACAUUGAAAGUAAGCAUUUGAUUCACAAGCCAAUUUUUAUUUUUAUUUAUUUUUUUCUUUA